rnacentral:rRNA from 1 species
UACGAAGGGGGCUAGCGUUGUUCGGAAUCACUGGGCGUAAAGGGCGCGUAGGCGGCCAGCACAAGUCAGUUGUGAAAUCUCCGAGCUUAACUCGGAAAGGUCAACUGAUACUGUGCGGCUAGAGUGCGGAAGGGGCAACUGGAAUUCUUGGUGUAGCGGUGAAAUGCGUAGAUAUCAAGAGGAACACCUGCGGCGAAGGCGGGUUGCUGGGCCGACAC